AUGCAACUGUAACAGCGUGAGUAAUGGCACUCCCACCAGCGCUGUGCUGCAGCAGGCCAGAACAAGUUGUUGUUGGAAAACUACAAUCAAGGACUUCAAUGGUGGAUUCUGUAUCGUGUUAGUAUCUGACAGUGGUGGUGGACCACGGUCGAGGUGGCAGCUGAUGGUGGAGCCUGAUGGCAGCAGUGGACAAUGACUGAACUAAAGUGGCAUCCUAUCUUGAGGGUGGAUCAUGAUCGUGGUGGCUGCUGACCAUGGACUAUGACUACGGCAGGACUUCUUGAUAUACAAUGUUUGUCCUCGGAUACCCGACCUUUACUGACAAUAAUCAAUCAAUUCAUUGAACUUCCAUUGUGCUACAAAGUGUUUAUUCUAAUCAAUGCUGCAGAUACCCUUAUCUUCCUGAUGUUGUCCAUUACACGUGGCAUCUAUUGCACUUCUGUCCGUCCUGGGAGAGGGAUCCUCACAAACCCAGAACAACAAGUUUAGAAACAAAUUUCUUCAAGAAAGCCAAACUACAAAGUGCUAUAAGAAAAGUACCAUAUAAGUGCUAGUUUUAUUAUAUUUAUUUAUUUGGCUUUAAUUCAAGGUUAAGUCAGAAGAGAUGUGCUUUAAAUAUGCGGCGGAAGAUGUGUAGAUGUUCUGUCCUGAUGUCGAUGGGGAGCUCGUUCCACCAUUUAGGAGCCAGGACAGGAAACAGUCGUGAUUUUGGUGAGUUUAACUCGCAGUGAGGGAGCAACAAGCCGAUUGGCCGAUACAGAGCGGAGUGAGCGUGCAGGGGUGUAACGUUUGACCAUGUCCUGGAUGUAGACUGGACCCGAUCCGUUCACAGGACGGUAUUAAGGUACUAGUGUUUUGAAACGGAUGCGGGCAGCCACUGGUAACCAGUGAAAGGAGCGUAGGAUUUAAAAAGAGUUACAGGGAGUUACAAUAGUCUAAGUGUGAGAUGACCAGAACCUGGACCAGAACCUGCGCCGUCUUCUGAGUGAGAAGCGGAAGUAUUCUCCUGAUGUUGUGCAGCACGUAUCUACAGGAACAUGUUGUUGCAGUAAUGAUGGCCGUAAGGGAGAGUUGACUCCCAGGGUGGCACACCCAGGUUCCCAGCAGUCUUGGUGGGGGCUAACAUGGAGUGUUGAAAGGUAAUAGUCGGGUCGUGGGUGUGAGAGCCUUUCCAUGGAAGGAUAGUAGUUCAUUCUUGUCAAGGUUAAUUUAUCGCUGGUUUGCAGAAAUCCACUGAGAGAUGUCAGUCAGGCAGAGAUUCGUGCUGCUACCUGCGUUUCAGAUUGGGGAAAAGAGAGGAUUAGUUGGGUGUCAUCAGCCAAAAAAAAGCCAGGUGUGUGAAUGACAGAGCCGAGAGAGUUGGUGUACAGACAGAAGAGGAGGGGACACAGGACGGAACCUUGAGGGACCCCAGUAGAGAGAGGACAAGGUUCAGACACAUCCUCUCCAAGUUACCCGGUAAGAAAAACUUCCGAACCAUGACCUCAAACCUGAGGUCGACAGGCUUGGCUUCCCGUUACACCCCAUGGUCCGGAUAUCCGAUGUUCCCUUUCACAGAGGGGGAAGUGUAAUCAAACAAGCAAAAUCACUAAGGUAUCACUUUUCAACCUAGAUUUGUUAAUAUGUUUCAAUUGUAUCUUAAAAGACGACACAGGUUUGCUCAUUUGCGAUGUCACAUAUUUGAGGUUUAGAGGCCCCGACAUCUUGACCAUCUUUUGUCUCGACUAGAGAAUCAUGAGAGAGAUGAAGGAAAUCAACAACUUUUUCUUUAAAUUUCGAAGCAAAUAUUUGUACAAAACUAUUCCUAUUAUCUGUGUGUUUUGAACUACUUAGCAAUUACUCUAAAAUCAAAGCAAAGUUACCGCAUGAUGUGUAAAUGUGUGCUUCUAUGAUCAUUCAUUUCAGCUCUGAUUAUAAGUCAGUCUUUGGGUUUAAACAAAAUUAGAAAAUUGAUGAGCAAUCUUGAAAAUUCAACAAGCAAGGAUCCUAAAAUAGACGGCACCAGAAAACAGAAGAUGGAUUUAAGCAGAAGACGUAUUUCAGAGUUGAAUACUUUCUGAUAUCAAUCGCCAAACACAUUUGAGAGAGUAAUUGGAGAAUCAGUGAAUUUAAAUCACCAGUUUUAUCUGCAUUCAGCUUAGAGUUUGAUUUCUAGUCAGCAAAACAAUUCUAAAUCAAACUAUGCAGAAGGUAUAUAUUCAUAGAAAAACAGAACAGGACCCAGAAUAGAGCUUUGAGGUUCUCCACAUCUUACCAGGAGUGAAUACAGAAUAAAAGACUUCAUGAGACCACACUGUCUAUCAGAAAUACAUUAUCAACUAAAUUAUAGCUUUUUUUGAUAUUCUAUUAUUAACUUCAAGACUUAAACCAAGAAUGAACUGAUUCCACUAUAAAGUAGGUAUGUGUACACAAUGACUCCAUUGUUUUUCUAGUAAAACUAUUCAAAACACACCUUCUUUCCAAAAUGUUGUGCAACAGGUUAUUUUCACCUGGUCGUGCUCGCACACACACAAAGGAGUAGGAAAGUCUUGAAAGACGGACAAAACACACCGAUUGUUUUGGUCUUUUCAUAGAACUUGUUGUCUGUAAUAACAAUAUUUAAUGCAGCCUUAUUUGAUGGAUUGAUCAACUAUGUUAAAGGAAGAUUUUAGCCACAACGUUUUAUUGUAUUAAAUGAUAAUAAUGUAUUUCUUACAGUUGUAAUGUGCUGUUUUGUGCUUUGUGACUGGUGUGACGACAAAGUUGAUCAUCAAUAACUAUUUGCUUUUAAUCAUGGAUUCAUUGUUUUGUCCAUAAAUUGUCAGAAAAAAAUUAAAUAAAAAUUGA